GUGGAUUAGAUACCCUGGUAGUCCAUGCCGUAAACGUUGGGCACUAGGUGUGGGGCUCAUUCCACGAGUUCCGUGCCGCAGCAAACGCAUUAAGUGCCCCGCCUGGGGAGUACGGCCGCAAGGCUAAAACUCAAAGAAAUUGACGGGGGCCCGCACAAGCGGCGGAGCAUGCGGAUUAAUUCGAUGCAACGCGAAGAACCUUACCAAGGCUUGACAUACACCGGAAAAGUGCAGAGAUGUGCUCCCCUUUUGGUCGGUGUACAGGUGGUGCACGGCCGUCGCCAGCU
rnacentral:rRNA from 1 species